rnacentral:rRNA from 1 species
UACAGAGGGAGCAAGCGUUGUUCGGAAUUACUGGGCGUAAAGGGCGCGUAGGCGGUUCGAUAAGUCCCGUGUGAAAUCCCUCGGCUCAACUGAGGAAUUGCACGGGAAACUGACGGGCUUGAGUUCGGGAGAGGGAAGCGGAAUUCCCAGUGUAGAGGUGAAAUUCGUAGAUAUUGGGAAGAACACCGGUGGCGAAGGCGGCGACCUGGUCCGUGACUGACGCUGAGGCGCGAAAGCGUGGGGAGCAAACAGG